rnacentral:tRNA from 1 species
GCGGGUGUAGCUCAAUGGUAGAGCCUCAGCCUUCCAAGCUGAUGGUGCCGGUUCGAUCCCGGUCACCCGCU